rnacentral:rRNA from 1 species
AUUGAACGCUGGCGGCAGGCCUAACACAUGCAAGUCGAGCGAGCGGCGGACGGGUGAGUAAUGUCUGGGAAACUGCCUGAUGGAGGGGGAUAACUACUGGAAACGGUAGCUAAUACCGCAUACCAUCAGAUGUGCCCAGAUGGGAUAAGCUAGUAGGUGGGGUAACGGCUCACCUAGGCGACGAUCCCUAGCUGGUCUGAGAGGAUGACCAGCCACACUGGAACGUAGCCACGGUCAAGACUCCUACGGUAGGCAGGCGAGGGGAAUAGUGCACAAUGGGAGCAAGACGGAUGCAGCCAUGCCGCGUGUGUGAAGAAGGCCUUCGGUUUGUAAAGCACUUUCAGCGGGGAGGCGUUACCCGCAGAAGAAGCACCGGCUAACUCCGUGCCAGCAGCCGCGGUAAUAC